AUUGAACGCUGGCGGCAUGCCUUACACAUGCAAGUCGAACGGCACCAGGGGGAUUGCUCCCCUGUGGCGAGGGGGACGGGUGAGUGUUAUACCUGAACGUAUGUAACCUAGUGGGGUAUCGUAGCGAAAAAUCCGGAACUAUCGCACAUACGAUAUAGGUGAGAAAGUGGGAGACUUUCGGGCUGUGCGCUUGGGGGAGCCGAUGGGUGAUUAGCUAGUUGGUGGGGUAAAGGCCUACCAAGGCGACGAUCAGUAGCUGGUCUGAGAGGACGACCAGCCACACUGGGACUGAGACACGGCCCAGACUCCUACGGGAGGCAGCAGUGGGGAAUGUUGGACAAAGGGCGCAAGCCUGAUCCAGCAAUGCCGCGUGAGUGAAGAAGGCCUUCGGGUUGUAAAGCUCUGUUGUCAGGGAAGAAACGCCUGUAGCUAAUAUCCUCGGCGAAUGACGGUACCUGAAGAAUAAGCACCGGCUAACUACGUG
rnacentral:rRNA from 1 species